UACAGAGGUGGCAAGCGUUGUUCGGAAUUACUGGGCGUAAAGGGCGCGUAGGCGGCCUUCUAAGUCAGACGUGAAAUCCCCCGGCUUAACCUGGGAACUGCGUCUGAUACUGGAGGGCUUGAGUGCGGGAGAGGGAUGUGGAAUUCCAGGUGUAGCGGUGAAAUGCGUAGAUAUCUGGAGGAACACCGGUGGCGAAGGCGGCGACCUGGUCCGUGGACUGACGCUGAGGCGCGAAAGCGUGGGGAGCAAACAGG
rnacentral:rRNA from 1 species